rnacentral:rRNA from 1 species
GACGAACGCUGGCGGCGUGCUUAACACAUGCAAGUCGAACGGAAAGGCCCUGCUUUUGUGGGGUGCUCGAGUGGCGAACGGGUGAGUAACACGUGAGUAACCUGCCCUUGACUUUGGGAUAACUUCAGGAAACUGGGGCUAAUACCGGAUAGGAGCUCCUGCUGCAUGGUGGGGGUUGGAAAGUUUCGGCGGUUGGGGAUGGACUCGCGGCUUAUCAGCUUGUUGGUGGGGUAGUGGCUUACCAAGGCUUUGACGGGUAGCCGGCCUGAGAGGGUGGCCGGCCACAUUGGGACUGAGAUACGGCCCAGACUCCUACGGGAGGCAGCAGUGGGGAGUAUUGCACAAUGGGCGGAAGCCUGAUGCAGCAACGCCGCGUGCGGGAUGACGGCCUUCGGGUUGUGAACCGCUUUCGCCUGUGACGAAGCGUGAGUGACGGUAAUGGGUAAAGAAGCACCGGCUAACUACGUG